rnacentral:rRNA from 1 species
GUUUGAUCCUGGCUCAGGACGAACGCUGGCGGCGGGCUUAACACAUGCAAGUCGAGCGGAAAGGCCACUUCGGUGGUACUCGAUCGGCGAACGGGUGAGUAACACGUGAGUAAUCUGCCCCUGGCUUUGGGAUAGCCACCGGAAACGGUGAUUAAUACCGGAUAUGACAUGGACUCGCAUGGGUUUGUGUGGAAAGUUUUUCGGCCAGGGAUGUGCUCGCGGCCUAUCAGCUUGAUGGUGAGGUAAUGGCUCACCAUGGCUUCGACGGGUAGCCGGCCUGAGAGGGUGACCGGUCACACUGGGACUGAGACACGGCCCAGACUCCUACGGGAGGCAGCAGUGGGGAAUAUUGGACAAUGGGCGAAAGCCUGAUCCAGCCAUGCCGCGUGUGUGAAGAAGGUCUUCGGAUUGUAAAGCACUUUAAGUUGGGAGGAAGGGCAUUAACCUAAUACGUUAGUGUUUUGACGUUACCGACAGAAUAAGCACCGGCUAACUCUGUGCCAGCAGCCGCGGUAAUACAGAGGGUGCAAGCGUUAAUCGGAAUUACUGGGCGUAAAGCGCGCGUAGGUGGUUUGUUAAGUUGGAUGUGAAAGCCCCGGGCUCAACCUGGGAACUGCAUCCAAAACUGGCAAGCUAGAGUACGGUAGAGGGUGGUGGAAUUUCCUGUGUAGCGGUGAAAUGCGUAGAUAUAGGAAGGAACACCAGUGGCGAAGGCGACCACCUGGACUGAUACUGACACUGAUGUGCGAAAGC